AGGCGCCGGGACGGCGGGGCUGGAAUCAUCUGAUGGGGGAAACGGGGCGGGAGAAACCUCCCUCCUUCGGCACCUCCAGCCGCGCCUCGCUGAGAAACCCCCGGCCACGGGGGCACGGGGGCAACCCCGAGCCCUCAUCCCACUUGCCCACUGUCCAAGCACAUUCCGGGGGAGUAAAGAGACCCCCAGCAGGAGAUUCCAACCUGUGGAGCUGGGGGGUCGCAUCGCCUUAUUGCCCCGACCCGCCGAGCCCUCCCGCAGCCCGACCCGCCGCGCAGCCGUCUCCCUUUGCACCUGAAGUUUUUGGUUGCGGGUGGAGAGAGAAAACCAGCGGUUCCCAGGGAACCAGCUCCGGAGGGUCACUCCUGGGGGUGCCUUGGGGUUUUUCUUGCUGGUAUUUUUGUUUUGGUGUUUUGAUUUUUUUUUUUCCAGCCAGCCCCAAACUUCCCACGUGCUUCUCCCCAAACCCCGCAUUAUUAGGGAACAAUUAAGGCGUGUAAAAACACGGCGAGGCGAAGCCCUUUAGCUGGAAGUGGUCUUUCAAGGCGCUAUUGGAGCUCCUGGCCCCAUCCCCUCGCCCCGACGCGGGGGCUGCUGCGGGCAGGAUGAGCUCCGAGGCCGGGCCGGGGCUCCGGAGCUUCUGCGGGGCUCUGGAGCUGCGCUUUCCUCAUCUGCCACCGCUCCUUCGUGGAAGCUCAACCCGCAGCCGUCUCGCAUGCACCACCUUUGGGUUUUCCCUUUUCUAAUCCAUCUGUUUUUCUUUCUUUCUUUCUUUGGUUUCCUGCUUUUUAAUGAUUGGAUUAUUCUAGAGUAAAUACUUAAUUAUUAUUAUUACAUUUUCAAAACGCUCUCAGCCGAAACAGAGUUCGACCUUUAGCCCAGGUAACCGCGGCCAUAAUUCCUGCUGAAUUUCGCCUUGGUUUCACCAAACUCAGCUUUCCCUCACUCUCCCACAUAAUGACCUUCCCGGAGAAGGCAUUGAAAUAAAAACCAAACCAGCACCGAGCGGGCUGGGCUGUGCGGAGCCGACCCGACCGCACGGACACUCCGACCCCCUCCCCUCCCGGGGCAGCCCCCCUCUGCCUCCGGCUUCUCUCCUUUCCGAGGUCCUUUCAAGCUUUAUUUCUUUCAAGCCGCCCAAGCGCCCCUGACAAAAUAAAGUUAUCAAGGAAAUAAGCUCGGGAGAAAAAGCCAGUGGUGCUUUUCCCCCCCGGAGCUGCUCCUUCCAGGGAAGGUACGAGCGGAGCGGCUCCGGGGUGGGGGAGCCGGCCGAGGAUGGGGACGCGGGGUCCGGCUUGGGGCCUCCCACCGGCUGGACAGACGGGUCAGUGGAACAAGGAGGUUUUCUUGGGGCAGGAGGAGGCGGCAGGGAGGGAGCUGGAGGGAUUUCUCCAAGCUUUCGUGCAGUCCCGUUUCAGGUCCCUCUGCAGGAAAGGGGUCCCCGCCGCCGCAGCCCCGCCGCCACCGCGCUGCCCGACCGCGCUCCCUUGGGAAUGUGUCACCGCGAUCUUCCGGCAGGAUCCUGUCCCUUCUGCCGUGAAACUGCUCCCAGGAGCUCUCGCGUUUAUUUUUCACAGGAGCCUUUCCAGAAGAGGAGGAAGAACCUGUCCCGGGAGGGCUCCUUGGCGAAACACGGGGAGAACACGCGUAGGAGCGGAGCGAGCCACGACCUCUCCAAAAACUGUUUUGGUCUGAGCAAGCGAGGUUUGGUUCGCACUCCGAAGGGUUCGCUCCCAGGAAAAGCGGCGCUUGGGCCAGCAGGGACAUUACUCCAUGGAUAACAACAUUUUCCAGUACUAACAAUAAUGGAGGGGCAAACCAGCCCGGGAGCCCGAGCUCAGCAGCAGCCGCCCGAGCCCUGGGGCAGCCAGGCGGGCGGCGCCGGCCCCGGCACCGGGAGUGCAGCGGGCAGCAGCUCCGGACACCCGCCCGGCUGUGCUCACUGCGCGCAGGUCUGUGCUUACGGCCGCGCCAGGAGCUCCAGAGCCGCUCGGUAGCUGGAUGUCACUUUAUGUACAGCUGUCUCUGCACAUGAUACGUCGAAAGCGCUACGACGUUUUCGAUGCAUUUCAAAUAUUUAUGUAGUUCAAGUACGUGUGUGCGUGUCGUUAUGUAAAGUUGAUGCAAAGAAAUG